AUACGGAGGAUGCAAGCGUUAUCCGGAUUUAUUGGGUUUAACGGGUGCGUAGGCGGAUGAUUAAGCGUGAGGUGAAAUGCCACUGCUCAACAGUGGAACUGCCUCGCGAACUGGUUGUCUUGAAUGCUCCUGCCGUGGGAGGAAUGUGUGGUGUAGCGGUGAAAUGCAUAGAGAUCACACAGAACACCGAUUGCGAAGGCAUCUCACGAAGGGGUGAUUGACGCUGAGGCACGAAAGCGUGGGGAUCAAACAGGAUUAGAUACCCUGGUAGUCCACGCAGUAAACGAUGAUAACUAACCGCUGGGUCGUAGUGAUUCAGUGGCCAAGCGAAAGCGAUAAGUUAUCCACCUGGGGAGUACGACCGCAAGGUUGAAACUCAAAGGAAUUGACGGGG
rnacentral:rRNA from 1 species